rnacentral:rRNA from 1 species
GGAGGGGUGCAAGCGUUGUUCGGAAUUAUUGGGGCGUAAAGAGCGUGUAGGGCGGUUCGGUAAGUCAGAUGUGAAAGCCCUGGGCUCAACCCAGGAAGUGCAUUUGAAACUACCAGACUUGAGUACGGGAGAGGAGGGGGGAAUUCCCGGUGUAGAGGUGAAAUUCGUAGAUAUCGGGAGGAAUACCAGUGGCGAAGGCGCCCCUCUGGACCGAUACUGACGCUGAGACGCGAAAGCGUGGGGAGCAAACAGGAUUAGAUACCCUGGUAGUCCACGCCGUAAACGAUGAGCACUAGGUGUAGCGGGUAUUGACCCCUGCUGUGCCGUAGCUAACGCAUUAAGUGCUCCGCCUGGGGGCUACGGUCGCAAGACUA